UUUUUUUUGAAGCAACCAGAACUAAGACAGGGACUGGGUGUGGCAGUGACUUUAACGGGGAGAGCAGGAGGAAAAGGCUUGCCCCAGACCUCUGUGAGCGGAGAUGAACCCAUCCAGAGAGAGAAGCGGAGUGGCAAUGUGUGUGAGGUCCAGUGGUGAAAGAUGGGCAGCAGUAAAUGGAGAGGGGUAGUGAACCAUGAAGGAGCUGCACCAAGGCUGAGAGGGGCCCCCAAAGACAGAAAGAGGGGUCUGAGAGGAAAGGAGUGAUCAGUCAUUUUAAAUACGACAGAGGGAAGAUGUUGUCAUGACUUUUGGUUUUACCGUCUAGGAUGCCCCGUGUGGAGUUCCCGUCGUGGCGCGGUGGUUAACGAAUCCGACUAGGAACCAUGAGGUUUCGCGUUCGGUCCCUGCCCUUGCUCAGUGGAUUAAGGGUUCGGCGUUGCCGUGAGCUGUGGUGUAGGUUGAAGAUGUGGCUCGGAUCCCGCAUUGCUGUGGCUACAGUUCCGAUUAGACCCCUAGCCUGGGAACCUCCAUAUGCCUCGGAAGCGGCCCAAGAAAUGGCAAAAAGACAAAAAAUAAUAAUAAUAAAUAAUAGAAUGCCCCGUGUGACAUUAACAGGGACUGCUGCUUGCAGAGCUGGGGGUGGGAGGCGGAGAUCAGGAUGGAAGGAAUGCAGUGAGGAAAAGGGAACAAAGGGAACGGAAGGUGUGGAAGUGAAGGCACGGAGUGUCGACAGCUCUUUCAGGAAAGCUGGGCACAAAAGGAGGAAGGGAGAAGGAACCUGAGUAAGAAGGACGACUAGAAUCAGGGCACCGCGUCUUAGGCUUUCCCUGAGCCCGUGGACGCAAGGCUUUUUCUGGAUGUAGUCUGAAAAGUUGUGGUGAAAAUAGAAGAGGGAUAAGCUGGGCUUCCUUUUAAAUUUCUGUUGUCCUAGAGUGAAAUAAUUAUCUAAAAACUAUAAAGGGAAAGAACAGACAGGGGUGUUAAGUGCCAGGAAUCACUUUUUAAAAAUUCCAAAUCUUUAGAGUAGGAGCCUCUCACUAUGGGGUUAUGAAGUGGAGGCUGCUCUGAGAAUUAGCAAGAGGAAAUGUUCAAGGAAAAGGAAAGAUACAGUACCAGCCCUUGUAGAGAAAAACAUAGCUAUAAAUGUUAUAACACUUGGCAGUCCCUCCCUGGGACUGGGUCAGUGUGCGGUCAGCAGACCCACCUCGGGAGAGGCAUGAUCGGACUUGAUUUUGUAGUCAAGUGAUUGAUUGUAUAGGCAACAGGGAAAAGAAAGCAUUUUAUCAAAUGACUAAUAAUGGACUUUGGGUACUUGAUCUGGGAAUCUCUACUCAGAGGUAAACCAGUUGGAGGUUAAAUCCACAUUUUUGUAUAUUCAGGAAGUCGAAUAGACGGAGAUGUCCGGUCUCUUCACCUGUCAGAAGAAGCACCGUGGUCUGAUUUUUUUAUAUUCUCAGGAAUAAGAUGUUGUUUUCAAAUUCCCAUGUCGUGGGAAACCAGAGCAGCAGUUUAUACGGUCCCCCCAGAAACUGAGUGUAACGCAAUGGUUCCCGUCUUGUGUUCUCUGCGCGCACAAGCACGCUCAAGGGUGAGGUUGCACAGGUGCACAUUGCAGAUUGACAGAGAUUACAAAUAUUCAUCUAAAUGCCUAGAAUAGGUCUUGGAAGAACACAUAUCAAACAGAGAGCAGGGGUUCCCCAUGAGCAAAGCAGAGGAGGGAACUGAAAUUACAGCUGAUGGUUGGGAAACACUUUAGUUUUACCUGCCAUGUUAGUUUUUUACACUAUAAAUGUAUCAGUUGUCUAUUUUUGAAUUUUUUGGCCAAAUCAACAUGAACAAGAUUUUCCUAAUCAUUUUGGGGGACCUCAAAGAUGGUUAUCACCCAGUAGAGGGAUAGGUGAACAGGAUACAGGUAACAGAUAAAUCAGUGCCUGGUGUUCACCAGAUACUUAUUAUGCCUCCGGUAAAUCCGAAUCUUUUAUGUCUGUCAUCAGUUUUCUCUUACAAAGAAUUCGGUCUCUCUUCCUUUUGCUCUUCUUGGUACCCAUGUUUCUUCAAACAGCUGUUCUGGGAGCGAGAAGAAUGGUUUCAUCUGUGAAAAUGUCAUUUUCCUUCUCAUGAUAAACAUCAAAAAGUGAUAGCUAUCACUGUUUUUAUUAAUCCAGUGAUAACGCUUGGAGCUAUAAUUCAAGGAAUUGAACAAUGAGUGGGGAAUGAGGAGUGGGGUGGAUGAAACAGGGAAAUUCUGCAGAGGUUGUGAGGGAUGCUGAAAGAGCUCCCAUUGGUGUCUUACCCCACUUAGCACAGCAAGAAGUGAGGGCUGGGCUCAGAGCUUCUGCCAAGUGAGGAAAGGUUAGAAAGAAGCCGUGACAGAGAGUCAGGAGGAGUUGAGUAAGAAGAUUCCUGAGCAGCAGAAGGGCCUCCAUUGAGGUUUGGGGGUAAGAAUUUGCCAGAAAACAAUUUGGCCUUUGUUAACUUUCCCCCGUGAGUUUGAGUAGCUCUGAAGCAUGAGAGAAAGUAGAUUGAACUUCCACUGAUGGCUGGACAUGGGGGGACACCCCCGGAAGACCAAGAACAAGGAAAUCAGCAUGAGCAUGGUGCUGGAAUAGCUUUCUACGAGGUUCUGGUAAUGUAGGAGUGUGACACUCCAGGACUUGGCUGAAGGACCUGGAAAGGAGAAGAAACAGAAGUCAAAGAUGUCCUGUCACAAGAGAGAGAAGGAGGGUUGUAAGCAUCAAGAGAACAAAAGAGGAAUGUUAAAAUAGGGUUCAUUUUGUCAUUUAUAAUUUCUCUUCGGGAAGGAGCUGAUUUUCAUUCAUUUUUUAAUAUCGUAGCCCUUGUUCUCUAAAUGCUUUUACUAUCACCAGUGAACCAAUUAAUGGGAAGGCUGAUCUCGCUGGACAAUCUCCCACUAAGCUAUGAGUUGCUUGAAGGCAGGCCUUGUGUCCUGUGAACUGAUGCAUCAGAAAUAAAUGUGCAAGAAAUCUCAGAGGAGUUUGCAGGUCCAUACUAGUUAUUGCUGUGGACAAACGAGCUGGAUGUUUAGGACCUCUGAUUUCUUCAUCUGAAAGAUGAAAACCACAAGAUGAUUCCCAUUCCCCAGAAGGGAGGAGACUUCCUUUGCCUUCAUCCCUUAGCCUCCACUCCAUAGAACAGUCCCUCCUUGGACCAAACAUCCAUGACAGAUUCAAAACAGUUGCCUGGAGGUUGGCUACUGCUUAACAGGUAGUUACAAACCCCUCCAUGGUGCUGAGAUUCCAGCCAGCUGAGAUGGCAUGAGGCAGCUAAUUAAAGCCGUCCAGAAAACUGUAUAAAUAAAGAUGAAAAUGUAAACAUGGCCUUCAUUGGAUUCGGUGAUUAGGAAUUAUACUUGUUUGUUUCUGGGCAGAACUGUCUGUGGUCUCUCAAAAUUUUGACAUGUGGCAUAACCUGCCACUAAUCAAAAAGAAGGAAAC
rnacentral:lncRNA from 1 species